AAACGCAUGGCAAAAGAGCUAAAUCGUGGCUGUUCCAGCGCAAAUCUUUGGCUAUACUUCUUAACGAAGACAGAUGCUUCUGGUCAUGCCGACGCUGAUCUCACUUCUGCUAUGCUACGGAAAUGCUACGGAAGAAGAAGUGGCAGGGAAGCACCCCGAACUUCUUUCCGGGCCUUAUCUCUUCUUAUGGGGGAUUUCAAGCAUGCUGGAGGAAACAAUCUGUCUCUCUUUUUCUGCCUCUGCCGAGAAGCCCACCCUGAAAACAGAGUGUUUCACAGAGGCAGCCGAGCAAGCUGUAAAAAAAGAAAAGAAAAUGUCUGCUGUGGCGGAAACAUUUCAAGCACUCAAACAUCUUUGAUUCCAGUUGUUUCUACAUGUCCGAGGAAGCUCUGACAAGAAUCCACCUGACCAUCGACAAGAACAUCGAGUCUGGGGAGAAGAAGCUGUGGAAGAAUCACAAACAGGUCAGCAGAGCACAGCAGGAAAAAAGGAGGACGAUGCCAGAGCAAUUACACACGGGCGAUCAUCAGUUUCCAUCGGUGCUGCGCGGUGGACAGGGACACGCAAGUUAAGUGACUGUUUACUCGGUGUCAACUGGGGGACACGGCUCUCACAGCCUUGGCUGCUGUUGACACCCUUGUCAAAUAACACCUCGCACAUCACACACGGUGACGCAUUGAAAAGGACGUGUAAAAAAGUCACGCCAACCUGACUUCUGGAGGGGUAACAGAUGUGCGAUGACUGAUGGAGACUCGCCCUGACCCCCAUUUAAAUAGCAACGUACAUAAAACGGCUCAUUAAGAGGAGGGAUUACAGAAAAGCUCCUCAUAUCAUUGAGUGAGAGCGGCGAGUGCACAAAGCACUGAGCAGACACUUGAAACACUAAACGGAGACGGAAGUUGCUAAUAACUAAGGGGAUUUGCUCUUUUGCUCCAAAUCUAAAAGGGUAAUAAAUUAGUCUGCAUAUAUUAUGUGUUAGUCAGACACAGAACUAGUCACUCAGCAGAUUAUUUAUUGAACAAAACAGCUUCCAACAGACUUUAUAAUUUGGCCAUCCCUUUAAUCACGCUUUAAAUGAGGGCAUUACACAAACAAGACAUGAAACACGUUAGUGGAAUUAACCCGGUCCAUUGAGAGCAUAGCCUGUGUCAACAUACAGCAUGAGGAUUCAACACAGCAACCGCAGCAAUAGUUGAAGGAAGAUCACGGCCUUUGUAAGAGAAAUGAUCGCUGUGUCGCUGCAGCUACAGCCAUGUGGCGUAUAAGUGCAUUAAAAAUCUAUCCUGACCUUUCUCCAUUAUUCAUAAUCUGGCGGAAAUCCGCAGUAAACCAUAGGAGGUCGUCAGGGCAACGCAACAGUUCACCAGGUCAUGCAUGAAGUGGAUUUUUUGGCUCGAUGCAAAUGUUCACAAGGCAAGAUUAAAUAAACCUUUGCUGGUCUAUAUACACAUGUGUCUGUCAUGUGGCUACCCCUCUAGUUUGUGCCAUAUUCUGCUCCACUAUCACCAGCAACACGACUAUCUGUGCAACACAGAUAACACACAGACAUUUGUUGUUGUUGGAUGUCGGUAAACACACAGCGUGUGGCUGUAACUUGGACCAAGAACAAUGUGUCCUUAAUAGGAAUUGGCGCCAUCGGUAAAGGCUGGAUUGACUGCAUGGCAGGUGACUGGGCCCGCUGGGCUUUCAUCGUUUACCUCUACAAAGCAGCGGGAAAUCCCUGUUUUAUAUUUCUAAAAGCAGUCACGCACACACACGACAUUAACAGCAUCCCAUUCCGUCUGCGCGCCUAUACGAAUUUGCAGCUAACGCCACCAAAACAUGAAUAAAUAAAAAUACAAUUUUUCUAGAUUCAUUUUCAAGACAAAUGUUCUGGUUUGCCUGAGGACACCAACGCAGAAGAAAAAAAAAAAAAAGUCUAUGGGAAAAUAAGCCUUUGUGGAAAUUGUAGAAAACGGACAAUUUCCAUCGUCGACUGCGCAGAUGCGUCACUCAUUUAUUUUUAAGAAUGAAAACAGCACAAAAUAAAGAUGCCGUUAACCACGUCACCCAAGUCCUCGGCAAUUUAAAGGGACCGUGGUUACUAGGCAACCAUUUUUACAACAGAGCCGUGAGUGUCAAACCACAAACCUCAUUUUGGUGUAUUAACCUACACGUACAGAUAAUGGUGAAUUACGCCUAUUCACUCACUACACCUUCCGACGUCUCACUUGUGUUAUAACAUCAGUGCGUAUUUCCCUGGUCUGAGGUCUUCUUCAGUAGCAUAUGAUUUCAAUAUUGUAAAUUAUGUUCCCAUUUAGAGAAAAAUAGAUGAUAAAGCGCAGCACAUGAGUUGUUUGAUUGACAGCUGGUAUCGUCCAAUGGCUGCGUGGUUGCAGGUGACGUCUGAACUCCCAUUCGCAAAACAUCAACAUGGAACUUGCCACUUUAAGGCUUUAAAAUGGGAGUUCAGAUUCCUGUGGAUGCUACUGGGUCCUUUACAAAGUAUUACAAAGCACAACGAUUCUCGUGAGUGACGUCGUAACUGUUACUACUUGGACAACCUUUUGUCUGUAGCAGUUCCAAGUUUGUAAUCACUUUGAUAAACUGAAUAGACGGAAUAACAAUGACCCUGUUCCCUGUUGAGUUCUUGUCUCAUUUCACUACUCGUUUCCCCGCCUCUUUGAUUACCUGCACCUGCCGUCAUGGGUCACACCUGCGUCUCGUUGUCUCUCCUCCUCCCACAGACUAUAAAGCCCGUCUUUCCCUUCGUCUGUGCCAGUUUGUCUUGUACCCUUGUGUCAGCCUUCCAGCCCUUUCCCCUGCAUUAAGUUUCAUAGAAUGUUUAAACCCUUUUGACUCCGCUGUCAGAUCUGUUACCUUUUUACUGAGUGGACUGAUCCAUGUACUGAACCUGAAUCACUCUCAGAGGCUGCAUUUGAGUCCUUGUUUCUUGUGUUGUAUUGUGCUUAAUCUACUCUUUUGGGUUCAUAAUAUUGUAAUUUAUUUGUGCUGCGACCUGUCAUAAUUCUUUAAAACUCCUGUCCAGGUGGCCAAGAGAAUUACACAGUGAAAGCAAGGAGAUUACAGGGGAUCAAUAUCCAGUAAACACUGAUUCUUUUUUAUGUUGUCAUUACACUGUGCAACCAGUUUCAGUGUCAGCAAAUGGCAGUCUAUUUCAGUAUGUAUGUAACAAAUACAGUGAUUUUCUUUCUUUAUACAUGCAUCACAGUACUAUGAGUGAAACAACAGGCAGCUGCAGCUGGAGACAGUUGGGUAUUAUUGAGCAACACUAAUCAGAGCAGAUUACAAAAGAUCUACUGCGAUUGUU